UACAUGGGGUGCAAACGUUGCUCGGAAUUAUUGGGCGUAAAGGGCGCGUAGGCGGUCAGCACAAGUCAGUUGUGAAAUCUCCGGGCUUAACUCGGAAAGGUCAACUGAUACUGUGCGACUAGAGUGCAGAAGGGGCAACUGGAAUUCUCGGUGUAGCGGUGAAAUGCGUAGAUAUCGAGAGGAACACCUGCGGCGAAGGCGGGUUGCUGGGCUGACACUGACGCUGAGGCGCGAAAGCUAGGGGAGCGAACGGG
rnacentral:rRNA from 1 species